rnacentral:rRNA from 1 species
AGAGUUUGAUCAUGGCUCAGGACGAACGCUGGCGGCGUGCCUAAUACAUGCAAGUCGAGCGAACAGAAAAGGAGCUUGCUCCUUUGACGUUAGCGGCGGACGGGUGAGUAACACGUGGGCAACCUACCCUAUAGUUUGGGAUAACUCCGGGAAACCGGGGCUAAUACCGAAUAAUCUCUUUUGCUUCAUGGUGAAAGACUGAAAGACGGUUUCGGCUGUCGUUAUAGGAUGGGCCCGCGGCGCAUUAGCUAGUUGGUGAGGUAACGGCUCACCAAGGCGACGAUGCGUAGCCGACCUGAGAGGGUGAUCGGCCACACUGGGACUGAGACACGGCCCAGACUCCUACGGGAGGCAGCAGUAGGGAAUCUUCCACAAUGGGCGAAAGCCUGAUGGAGCAACGCCGCGUGAGUGAAGAAGGUUUUCGGAUCGUAAAACUCUGUUGUAAGGGAAGAACAAGUACAGUAGUAACUGGCUGUACCUUGACGGUACCUUAUUAGAAAGCCACGGCUAACUACGUGCCAGCAGCCGCGGUAAUACGUAGGUGGCAAGCGUUGUCCGGAAUUAUUGGGCGUAAAAGCGCGCGCAGGCGGUCCUUUAAGUCUGAUGUGAAAGCCCACGGCUCAACCGUGGAGGGUCAUUGGAAACUGGGGGACUUGAGUGCAGAAGAGGAAAAGUGGAAUUCCAAGUGUAGCGGUGAAAUGCGUAGAGAUUUGGGAGGAACACC